rnacentral:lncRNA from 1 species
GCGAGAUGAAACCCCCGGUGUUGAUGAACUUUCCAGCAAAAGCUGUUCCUACCCAGUUUGCAAGGCCCAGUCAGCUUGUACUCUCAGAGGGCCAGCACUCCACUCUGAUGGAAAUCUGCCUGUGAUGCCAGCCUGGGGAGUGCCCUUCACACGUGAUCUCAUCUAAGCCUGGCUUGACAGUAAGAAGAGGAGGAAGAGGAGGAAGCUUAGGAAUCCUCUCUGAAGGGGACAUGGUUCUUGGAGGCCUGAUUUGUAUUGGGGAGAAUCCUGAAACCAAUCACUGAGGGAGCACUACCCUUUAUGAUGGGGAUGGAAAAGCCACAGCAACCCUAUGGCCUCUAGUUUUGGAGAGGGACUCAGCUAAAGACCAAAGGAAGCACCAGAAAGAAGAACUGAAGAGUUUAAUUUGGUUAAACAUAAAUAAAAAUAAAAACAUCUCUAGAAUAUAGAAACUAUCUCUAGAAGUCCGGGUGUUGUGGCUCACACCUGUAAUCCCAGCAUUUUGGGAGGCUAAGGCAGGUGGAUGACCUGAGCUCAGGAAUUUGAGACCAGCCUGGGCAAUAUGGCAAAACUUCGUCUCUGCCAAAAAUACAAAAAAUUAGCCGGGUGUGGUGGUAUGCACCUGUUGUCACAGCUACUCGAGAGGCUGAAGUGGGAGAACUGCUUGAGCCUGGGAGGCAGAGGUUGUAGUGAGCCAAGAUUGCACCACUGCACUCCAACCUGGGUGAAAAAAAUAAAAGAAAAACUAUCUCUAGGGGUGGAGCUCUGGGGAAUGUUUUCUCUGUUCAAAUGUUCUACCAAGCAGAUGUAUUACAGUGGAUGUGAUUGCCUUUAAUUUGCUUGAUUUGCUGGACAUCGUUCAAAGGUCAUCCCCAGGUAUCAGUGGAUGGAUAGGAAGGAGAGUGUGUGCACUGAGGGUGUGGCUGUGGGCCCUGCAGGGGAGGCACCACAGGGAGGGGCUGGCACUCCUAUGGGCUCAGACGCUCAGGUGAGUUGCCCAUUACAUAAGGUGCAUUGCUAGGGCAUUAGCUCAGCCAGGAAGGAACCACUCUGGACUUGUG